rnacentral:rRNA from 1 species
CCGGGCUCAACCUGGGAACUGCGCUUGUGACUGCAAGGCUAGAGUACGGCAGAGGGGGGUGGAAUUCCACGUGUAGCAGUGAAAUGCGUAGAGAUGUGGAGGAACACCAAUGGCGAAGGCAGCCCCCCUGGGUCGAUACUGACGCUCAUGCACGAAAGCGUGGGUAGCAAACAGGAUUAGAUACCCCUGGUAGUCCACGCCCCUAAAACGAUGUCAACUAGGUGUUGGGUGGGUAAAACCAUUUAGUACCGUAGCUAACGCGUGAAGUUGACCGCCUGGGGAGUACGGCCGCAAGGUUAAAACUCAAAGGAAUUGACGGGGACCCGCACAAGCGGUGGAUGAUGUGGAUUAAUUCGAUGCAACGCGAAAAACCUUACCUACCCUUGACAUGUCAGAAACUUGGCAGAGAUGCCUUGGUGCCCGAAAGGGAAUCUGAACACAGGUGCUGCAUGGCUGUCGUCAGCUCGUGUCGUGAGAUGUUGGUUAAGUCCCGCAACGAGCG